rnacentral:rRNA from 1 species
AGUGAACGCUGGCGGUAGGCCUAACACAUGCAAGUCGAACGGCAGCACAGUAAGAGCUUGCUCUUACGGGUGGCGAGUGGCGGACGGGUGAGGAAUACAUCGGAAUCUACUUUUUCGUGGGGGAUAACGUAGGGAAACUUACGCUAAUACCGCAUACGACCUACGGGUGAAAGCAGGGGAUCUUCGGACCUUGCGCGAUUGAAUGAGCCGAUGUCGGAUUAGCUAGUUGGCGGGGUAAAGGCCCACCAAGGCGACGAUCCGUAGCUGGUCUGAGAGGAUGAUCAGCCACACGGGAACUGGGACACGGUCCAGACUCCUACGGGAGGCAGCAGUGGGGAAUAUUGGACAAUGGGCGCAAGCCUGAUCCAGCCAUACCGCGUGGGUGAAGAAGGCCUUCGGGUUGUAAAGCCCUUUUGUUGGGAAAGAAAAGCAGCAGGUUAAUACCCCGCUGUUCUGACGGUACCCAAAGAAUAAGCACCGGCUAACUUCGUG